rnacentral:rRNA from 1 species
UACGUAGGGUGCGAGCGUUGUCCGGAAUUAUUGGGCGUAAAGGGCGCGUAGGCGGCCACGCACGUCCGUUGUGAAAUCGCCCGGCUCAACUGGGCGGGGUCAGCGGAUACGGUGUGGCUCGAGCAAGCUAGGGGGCAAUGGAAUUCCCGGUGUAGUGGUGGAAUGCGUAGAUAUCGGGAGGAACACCUGUGGCGAAAGCGGCGCACUGGACCACAACUGACGCUGGAGGCGACGAAAGCUAGGGGAGCAAACAGG